CGGGAUGUGGCGCAGUCCGGUUAGCGCACCUGCUUUGGGAGCAGGGGGUCCCAGGUUCGAAUCCUGGUAUCCCGA
rnacentral:tRNA from 2 species